GAGAAGGAUGUUUAAAGGUGCGUUCGCCCCUGAUCGAUGAUUGGCCCAAUGCGAAGAGCAAAGGGGGCUGUGAUUGGAGGUCAGACCAGGCACGUCCCAGCCCUUUUUGCUGACCAAGCCAGUGUGUUCCCAGCCCUAGAAGGCAAUCAAAUAUUGCAUCCAACAGAAGUGACAUCCAGGAGCGGUGGGGAGGAGACUGGAGAGAUGAAUUCCUCAGUCUGGGCCAUUUGCAGCUCUUGGUGCCAAUGUCAUGAUUCCCAGAAUGUGCUGAACAGCAGCAGCAUUGGAGGGGAGAGGUCUCUGCACCCGAUUCACAGAAAAAAGGAAAAACAAGUUUGGGGCAGAUACUGAGCUGGAAACUCCAUCAAAGAAAAUGAAAAGGGGCAAAAUGGAAGAGGAGCAUUGGGAAGAGGGCAUCUCUUAGCAAUGGACCCAAUAUUCUUGCAGCCUCACAUCCAUCCCAGGACACACAAUCUGUAAGUGAGAUUUACUUUUCUCCUCAUCAUCCCCUCCCACCCUUCAGACUCCAGGUGGUUUGUCUCAUUCACUUACUGCCUUUUGUCAUAACCAAGACCCAGAUCAUACAAAGACUUUGACAUGAAAGUAGCUUUACCCAGUUUCGUCCUUUUGACACUAACGGGAUGUUCAGAGUCUGCGGGAGGUCCACCGGAGCCGCAGGACCGGCGACCAGCAGAACUCCCCCCGUGGCGUGCCGCCGUACUUGGGGCGGCGAAAUGGCUAGAGCCGCCCCUGCUCAUUGGAUUGUCUGUGCUAUUGUCGUGUGUGAAGUUAUAAAGUUUGGUUAUUUAUGUGUUAUGGAAACAUGUUGUGAGGUUGAAAACACCCACCAGCAGCCUUUCAGGUAUAACAGUAAAAAGGGCAAGCAAUAUUAAUGGCUUAUUGAGGAAAUGCACACAAGCACAAGGAUUACCCCAGGAACUGUGUACACUAGAAACCCCUCAGAGAUAGCACUACACAAUGGAACUGUUUGACCCGAGGUGACAGCAAAAGAACUUUCCAGCAAGUGGGGAGAAGAUAUAAAAGGGGGACAAUGAUAUCAUGAGCGUACCUCACUCUCCCUGCAACCACACACCUGGAAAUAUCUGAGAGGCAAGGACUGAACUGUUGUAAGCGACGGUCCAACACUAGAAGCAACUAGCCUGUAUGAAAACCUGGGAAAGCCAAGGCAACUUGUGCCUUAGGAAUCUGCCAGCCUGUUUAUCACCCAGGGUGAGGAUUUGCUCAUUUAUAACCUACCUAUCUAGUGUGUUAAGCAAAGUUUGCGGGUUUUGUUUAUUUACUGAGGUAAUCUGCUUUGAUCUGUUCGCUAACCCU